UACGAAGGGGGCAAGCGUUGUUCGGAAUUAUUGGGCGUAAAGAGCUCGUAGGCGGUUCGGUAAGUCGGAUGUGAAAUCUCCACGCUCAACGUGGAGGGGCCAUUCGAUACUGCCGUGACUCGAGUCCGGUAGGGGAGUGUGGAAUUCCCGGUGUAGCGGUGAAAUGCGCAGAGAUCGGGAGGAACACCCGUAGCGAAGGCGGCACUCUGGGCCGGUACUGACGCUGAGGAGCGGAAAGCGUGGGGAGCGAACGAGGA
rnacentral:rRNA from 1 species